UGAGUAAUUUUUUGUGUAUCUCAUUAAAGGGAACAUUCUGGUAUUUAUACAUAUUAUCACUGUUCGUGAUUUGACUCCACUUUUCAUGGACUUGACCCCACUAUUCAUAGGACUGACAUUCUGAGCAGGCAUCGGGCAUGUUGAACACGUGUACCGUUCUGGGUUGCCUUUUAGGCCUCACAGUCCCCUAUGUGCAAACUCCUUGGGUAUAUUCGAGCUGGGGCCGCGAACCCCUCUUAGCUCGUGCGAGUUGAUACUGCGAGCUCCCCUAGAUGUCCCUUUGCUGUACACCUCGCAAAAAUCCAUCUGAUAGGACUUGGGCGGGACGCGGGUGCACGACCCGGAUCUUACCUAGGUUUUGUAUUGGUGAUCAUUGGUGUAUAGCAAUAAUAUAUAAAAAAAAUACCUAUAAAUUUAAAAUAAUACACCGAAAGAUAUCGAUGACAGGCAUCACUAUCUAAGUAAAAACAAUACAUCUACUUACAUAAUACUUAUUAUCUUAAUUUCCCAUAAAUAAAAUCUCCUGACAGAGUUUUAUAGAAUUACUCUUGUAAAAUUGGCAAAAGAAGAUUUUUAAAUUUUGGCAUACUUUUGAAAAUAUUUGUUUAAAAGAAAAAACAGCACAUGAUGUUCAUUAAUGAAUAAAA
rnacentral:lncRNA from 1 species